rnacentral:rRNA from 1 species
UACGGAGGGAGCUAGCGUUGUUCGGAAUUACUGGGCGUAAAGCGCGCGUAGGCGGCUUUGUAAGUUAGAGGUGAAAGCCCAGAGCUCAACUCUGGAAUUGCCUUUUAGACUGCAUCGCUUGAAUCAUGGAGAGGUCAGUGGAAUUCCGAGUGUAGAGGUGAAAUUCGUAGAUAUUCGGAAGAACACCAGUGGCGAAGGCGGCUGACUGGACAUGUAUUGACGCUGAGGUGCGAAAGCGUGGGGAGCGAACAGG